GGAUAAGGACCAGCACAGUGAGGCCGGAGGCCGUGGCUACCCCCAGCAGGACCAUGAAGAUCUGCUCCUUCCAGGAUCGGUGAUGUGGAAUCUCUGUCAACAUGAUGUGCCUUGCCAGGUGUGGUGGUGCACGCCUGUAAUCCCAGCACUCAGAAGGCUGAGGCAGGAGGAUUGCUGCAAGUUCGAGACCAGACUGGGCUACAAAAAUUCUCCGCUCCCGGCGGAGCUGAGGCUCACCUGCGCUAUUAUUAGAGCAAACACUGUGUCCUGACAACUCUGCCCAUGUGUCUCCUGCGGGACUGAUGCUCAGAAAUUAGUGCAACGUCAGGCUCUGCCUUAAGCUUCAAGGACCUGCUGGUGUCCCGAUUUUCCAAAACAACUGAUCAUCAAAGGAUAAUACUCUUCAAACAACAGAACCAGGUGUCCCUGUGUUUCCUUUGGAUCAGUCUGGAUGGGAUUCUCAGCCCCUGUCUGGCAGGCCAGUACCGGCUCUCAGCCUAAAGCAGCUGUAAGCCAGACCUCUGGCUCCUCUGCAACCCUAGGAAUACAGGACCAGAGCCCCAGGGGAAGAAACUCACUCCAAAAAAUUGGCCUCAGCAUCUUAACAACACAGCAGGCCUGGCUCAGGCCCCCUAUAAGCAACACUUCCUCCUGCAGAAAGGGAGCUGCAGACCUCAGCUUUGCACAGAGAUAUGCCGAGACAAUCACAGCUCUUCCAGGAAGGUGGAGGAUGUAAGAGGAUGGCUAUGAAGAAGUGAGGUGACACUCAGGAAAUGAAAGAGAUGGUGUCCGGGCCUCUGGCUGUCGGACCAGGCUUCCUCCUUCUGAGAGCCACUGGAACAAACAACCCACUCUUGCCCUUGGGUUCUGCUCCAGGAUGUGCCGUGUGAGUACUGCAGGCAGUGGCCUCCUCCCAGGACACUGGACACUGCGAGCUUCGCUGUGCAAGUUGCAGAAGACCCCACCAGCACCAGUGUCCCUGUCUUUGGCAGGGCCAACCAUGGGCAGAAAGUACACCUGGCUGCCUUCCUCAACCCUAAUGGGGUUCGGCCUUUCCUCACACCUCCACUGGCCCCCAGUUCCUGCCUGUGUCAUCACAUCAUCACAUCUUGGCUCAUUUCCCCUAUUGGUACUGCUUUUGCUUAUCGGCCUAUAACUCUUCACAUAUUAAAGUUGGUAAUAAUAGA